AAAUACCAUAGCUGAAACACCUUUCCAUUUCGAUUGAAGCUCCAAAGUUGAGUUACGAAGGUCCACAACUAGAAGAAGAUAGCUUCUCGAUUUUAAUGAAGCUCAGUUUCGAUUGGAGUUCACUAGGGUGGUUCCUCUUUACAGACAGCCUCUCAAUCUUGAUUCGAGUUUUGAAAGUCAGUUUCUGGGGGUUAUGAAGCUCCACAGCUGAAAGAAGAUAGUUUGUCGAUUGGAGUAACGAAGCUCAACAACUGAAACGAGGGUGGUUUCUACAAAUCCCAUGACUAUCAUCACGUUCUGUGAAGAUACGGUGCCCAAACCAUUAUCUAGAAACCAUUGCCAUCGUCGCAUUCGUCUUUGUCAUCACAGUCGUUGUCCAGCUUUGGAGUGUGGCAAGUCGCCACCGGUGUAAUAUCAACGAAUUCAAGGUUGAAUAUGUCUUAAAAUGUUCUAAAUUGUGUUUAGCCUCUGGCGAGUCUCCGGUGGCGGAGCACGAUGGUCAAAGGCGGUCUAACGGCGACAGAUUCCGUUAGAGUUGACUAAAUCUCUAACAGCAAAGGUAUAUUCCAUUAACUUUCCAACUGAAAUCCAAAACUUGGCGCACGGCCUCGACGACUACAACGACGAGUGGUGGCGAGUGACUGUCUGUACGACGGCACGUGGAGCAUCCGAGACCUAAUCUUAGGUUAUUCAAAGUCCUGAAUCACGGGGUGCAAUCCAUUUGUGUAUAUUCAUUAUCUAAAUAAUACAUUCACGAGUACAAGUUCAACUAAAUUGGGCAAAGGUAAGAGGCCUAUUAAAGAAUCACGCUUGGGAAACUUGUGAGUGGAUCCCUUCAAAACUCAAGUUUUCGAAUAAAUUAUUUCUUGAUGAAUUAAACUGUUUUGAAGCUAGUCUUACACAAGACUUCUAUAGAAUUGGUUAGAGGACCAUAUAAUUGAAUUAUCCACAUUGGUGAUUUAUUUUCACCAUAUGAUCUUUCAUAUAUCUUGUAUAGUUGUCUUCGGUCGUAGGAUAUUUGCAGCUGUUGUUAUAUUUCUAGUAGAUGCUAGAUAUACUAGUAGGUGCUACUAGUUGAGUUAGCUAGUAGACGCUAGCAACGCACAAGUCGACGCCCAUGUACACUUGCGUGCUAUACUUAUAUUAGUAGAUGCUAGUAUGAUAUAUUGAUUUCAGAUAUUAUCUAUUCUAAAAUUGAGAAAUGAUUUGACUGUAGCUAAGCUACAGUCAAACCUUUGCCACUCGAUUUCACGCUAUUUACAACAAUGUCAGCAAAAUAGGGCUGGAUUAGGAGGGUAAUUUUCAAAAGUUAGGAGGGUAAUUUUGUCUCUGACCAGAUUUCGAAAUAUUUACGAUUUUGCCAGUCUAUUCUAAAGUGGGCCCUCGAUUUUGCAUUAUUUACAUUUUUGCCAUUAUGUCUGUGGCUGUGCUUCAGCCAAAAACUCACAGAUUGUGCUUGAGAGAGAUAUAUGAGAGGAUUUGUGGAGGGAUUUCAGGGUGAAAGGCGUGGGAUGCCAAGGAGGGGAACGGAGAAGGAUGAGUGAGGCUGCCAAAAAGAGGGGUUAUGUUGAAUUUUUCUCCUCAAAUCAAGGGUUGGUGAUGGUGAUUGAGAGAUUGAGAGGGAUGGGAGAAAGACAAAAACAAACCCAUUUGUACUUCAAUUACCCUUCUUAAACCCUAGCAGCCACAACACCAACUGUAGCCGAUCCUUCAGAAUCCCAAAACCGAGCCAUCUCUGCAAUAGCAUCGACUCGUGCUUCCCAAAACCAAAACCACACAAACCUGCCCUCCAUUUAUAUAACUCGAUCGUUUCGGUGAGAUGAAGGAGAGGGAGGAGCAGGGAGAUGGGCUUGAGUCUGCGGACAGCGGAAGAGAUCUUCAGGGAUUACAGUGCUCGGAGAACCGACACCGUCCAUGCUCUGUUUGUUGGGGUGUUUUGCAGCAUCGUAGAUUUUUUUCAAGGAGUUUGCUCUGUUUGUUGUCAAGGCUGGUUCAAUUUUAAGUAAUAUUUAUGGUGUAAAUUGGGAAAACAAACUUGAGGCAAAAUAGUUGCAGGCAAAUUUUGUGUACUUGAGCCUGUUAAGCAGGUUGAAAUUAUGGCUCUAUUUUGGGGUAAUCUUUCUUCUUUUUGCUCUGGGUUUGGAGUUCUACACAACAAAGUUCUGAUUAGGUGCUGUUUGUAGUUUUAUGGUGGUAAAGUUUUCGGGGGAUAUUUGUUGGUGUGUUCCUUUCUAUGUCUUCAACAGUAGUGGUAAAUUACCAUAAACCUACCUCAUGCAUGCCCACAUUCGCACAGCUUUGCACCCACUUUUCACUCCUAUUAUCCUUUUUCUUGGAUGCAUAGUAUUCACAAGUCACAUUGUUUUUUCUUUUGGCCCUAGGUGUUGAAAUUUUUUAUGGAAUUUCAUUGAUGUAAAUAUUGCAUCUUAUUUUGGGCAUUACUGUAAUAGGUGAAUAUAAAGUCUAUUUGGAUAAGAGUAAAUUGAUUGUGUUUUAAGUUUUUUUUUUAAUUCAGAUAAUCAUGUUCAAUAUUUUUUUGGUUUGAUUUAAAGGAAUUUUGUACACAAAAAAGUUAGGGUUUUCUAGUUAGAAUUUUGGGUUGUACAUCUGGGUGUUUCUUACACAGAAAAGUUGAGCUUUUCUGAUUAGUUUUUUGCGUUGUUUAUUUGGGUGGUUUUGUUUUCGUCAAAUUUGUGGCUUUUGUGAUUUGAGAUUUGUACAUAAAUUGAAACUUAGUUUUUCUAAUUUCAACUCUCAUUCGGAUCUUGACAUUUUCUCAUCAUUAAAAUUGUUUUUUGUGCUGUUCUUUUCAAAGCACGAUCAGAUCCACAAGGCAUCAAAGUAUGUUAUUGAAGUAUAUAUUGUACAUGUCUGUAUUACAUUAUACAUGUGUGAGUGUGGAUAUGUUUUAUUCUGGGUUGAUUUAGUUAAUGAGGUUUGCUUUAAUUUCAGAUUAAUUUGGUUCCUAUUAAACAAAUCGGACGUUGUAAGUGUGAACCAGUUGUGUUUGAAAAUCGUUGGUUUUUCAUUUUUUUUUACUUGUGCCCUUUUAGUUGUUUGAAUGAACUUUUUAUGAUGUAAAUCAAGCUAAAUUGAAUAGCUGUGUUUGUAUAUUGUGUUUGGUGUUUUGAAUUCAUCUUUAAUUAAUGCAUUGUGGUUGUGAGAGUGAUUGAAUGCAUUGUAAUCUUUAUAGACAUAUAUAUUUAUACAAUUUCUAAUUCUACAGCAACGCGCGGGCAUAAUUUCUAGUGAUUUCUGAACCACUGAAUGAGUAUGAUUUCGAUUGAUGAACUUGUUGAGAUUUCCAUUUACCAUAUAUGGUAGUCAAUACUGGACCUAGCGAGAGCGAUUGUUGAGGAGGACGAGUGGGCUUGGCAGUAGUGUAGACUUCCUAUGGAGUAUGGUAGUUUUACUUAUGCUUUAUCAUUUUCGAGUUGUAAUAAUAUGCAUGAUCGUACUUUUUGAUUAUGCAUGGUUGAACACAUACUCUUGUGUUGUGUUCUACUAUUGCUUGCACUACUUUUAUGCUCUGAAUGAUGUGAUAAUAAUGGGUUGAACCCAAAUAUGUCCCCAAGUGGGGAGGUUGUGUAGGAACUUGCAAAAGUUUUUAAAUAAUUAAUAAACGAGCCUUUUGGUUCAAAUUUAUUCAUA